GCCCGGAUAGCUCAGACGGUAGAGCAGGGGAUUGAAAAUCCCCGUGUCCUUGGUUCGAUUCCGAGUCCGGGCACCA
rnacentral:tRNA from 1 species